rnacentral:rRNA from 1 species
UACGUGAAACCGUUCAGGGGUAAACGGAAAAGAUCCGAAAUACCGAACGGGGAGAUUCACUCCCUCUCGCCUGAGUCGGCUCUCUCGAGGUCAGAUGGCGCCGUUCGCCCGUGCGGUGCAAGCCGCUGCGGUGUCGCAACGGUGUUCACUCGACACUCGUGGGGGUUAUGCCGGCCGCGGUGGGCCGCACUUCUCCCUCAGUAGGACGUCGCGACCCGUUGGGCGACGGUCAACGGCCCCGGGGUUAAGACCGGCGGUAGCCUGGGUUUCGGCCCAGUGCGUCACCGUCCGGAGCUCGGGAGUCCCGGCCGAUCGCCAGACGGUAUGGAAUGCAGGUGCUGAACCACCCCAGUUUGGGUGUCCAGGCCGGACGCAAGCUUGCGUGCGUGCGCCCGGGAUGACGGACCCUGCGGUCCGGUUCCCGGCCCGUACCGCUGUUGGCGGACGUGUCCUUGGACGGGUUUUGUAACACCGGUCGGCGACGCUUCAGUUUUGGGUACUUAUCCGACCCGUCUUGAAACACGGACCAAGGAGUCUAACAUGUGCGCGAGUCAUUGGGUACACAAACCUAAAGGCGCAAUGAAAUUGAAGGCUUGUCUUUUCAGACCGAGGGAGGAUGGGUACGUCUGCCCACGUGGCGGUGCCCCGCACUCCCGGGGCGUCUCGUUCUCACUGCGAGAGGAGGCGCGCCCAGAGCGUACACGUUGGGACCCGAAAGAUGGUGAACUAUGCCUGGCCAGGACGAAGUCAGGGGAAACCCUGAUGGAGGUCCGUAGCGAUUCUGACGUGCAAAUCGAUCGUCGGAGCUGGGUAUAGGGGCGAAAGACUAAUCGAACCAUC